GGGGGCCCUGCCUUUAAAAUACAUCUCUCUGGGGGACAUGACACCAAAGCUAAGAGUCCAAUCAAGCAGGAGAGACCAGCCUCCCUGUACCCAGCUGUGUGUCCAUGAAGAGUGACAGGUCUAUGGGUCUACCUAUAAAGUUUAGAGAGGGGAGACUUUUCUACUGAACAAAG